UACGUAGGGGGCAAGCAUUGUCCGGAAUCAUUGGGCGUAAAGAGCGUGUAGGCGGUCCGGUAAGUCGGCUGUGAAAGUCCAGGGCUCAACCCUGGGAUGCCGGUCGAUACUGCCGGACUAGAGUUCGGAAGAGGCGAGUGGAAUUCCUGGUGUAGCGGUGAAAUGCGCAGAUAUCAGGAAGAACACCAAUGGCGAAAGCAGCUCUCUGGGACGGUACUGACGCUGAGAGCGAAAGCGUGGGGGAGCGAA
rnacentral:rRNA from 1 species